rnacentral:rRNA from 1 species
GGGGAAUAUUGCACAAUGGAGGGAACUCUGAUGCAGCAACGCCGCGUGCGGGAUGACGGCCUUCGGGUUGUAAACCGCUUUCAGCAGGGACGAAACUGACGGUACCUGCAGAAGAAGCACCGGCUAACUACGUGCCAGCAGCCGCGGUGAUACGUAGGGUGCGAGCGUUGUCCGGAAUUAUUGGGCGUAAAGAGCUCGUAGGCGGUCUGUCGCGUCGGAAGUGAAAACUCGGGGCUCAACCCCGAGCCUGCUUUCGAUACGGGCAGACUUGAGGAAUGUAGGGGAGAACGGAAUUCCUGGUGGAGCGGUGGAAUGCGCAGAUAUCAGGAGGAACACCAGUGGCGAAGGCGGUUCUCUGGACAUUAACUGACGCUGAGGAGCGAAAGCGUGGGGAGCAAACA